GAUGAACGCUAGCGGCAGGCUUAAUACAUGCAAGUCGUGGGGCAGCGCAGGUAGCAAUACUAGGCGGCGACCGGCAAACGGGUGCGGAACACGUACACAACCUUCCGAGAAGUGGGGAAUAGCCCAGAGAAAUUUGGAUUAAUACCCCGUAACAUAACGAUGUGGCAUCACAUUGUUAUUAUAGCUUCGGCGCUUCUUGAUGGGUGUGCGGCGGAUUAGAUAGUUGGCGGGGUAACGGCCCACCAAGUCUACGAUCAGUAGCUGAUCUGAGAGCAUGGUAAGCCACACGGGCACUGAGACACGGGCCCGACUCCUACGGGAGGCAGCAGAAAGGAACAUUGGUCAAUGGACGCAAGUCUGAACCAGCCAUGCCGCGUGAAGGAUUGAGGUCCUCUGGAUUGUAAACUUCUUUUAUCUGGGACGAAAAAAGGCGAUUCUUCGUCACUUGACGGUACCAGAUGAAUAAGCACCGGCUAACUCCGUGCCAGCAGCCGCGGUAACAC
rnacentral:rRNA from 1 species